UGGGGAAUUUUGGACAAUGGGCGAAAGCCUGAUCCAGCAAUGCCGCGUGUGUGAAGAAGGUCUUCGGGUUGUAAAGCACUUUUGUCCGGAAAGAAAUCCUUGGCUCUAAUACAGUCGGGGGAUGACGGUACCGGAAGAAUAAGCACCGGCUAACUACGUGCCAGCAGCCGCGGUAAUACGUAGGGUGCAAGCGUUAAUCGGAAUUACUGGGCGUAAAGCGUGCGCAGGCGGUUUGCUAAGACCGAUGUGAAAUCCCCGGGCUCAACCUGGGAACUGCAUUGGUGACUGGCAGGCUAGAGUAUGGCAGAGGGGGGUAGAAUUCCACGUGUAGCAGUGAAAUGCGUAGAGAUGUGGAGGAAUACCGAUGGCGAAGGCAGCCCCCUGGGCCAAUACUGACGCUCAUGCACGAAAGCGUGGGGAGCAAACAGGAUUAGGAUACCCUGGUAGUCCACGCCCUAAACGAUGUCAACUAGUUGUUGGGGAUUCAUUUCCUUAGUAACGUAGCUAACGCGUGAAGUUGACCGCCUGGGGAGUACGGUC
rnacentral:rRNA from 1 species